rnacentral:rRNA from 1 species
CUCCGGUAGGGGUGCCUGCGGAGGGAUCAUUGCUGGAACGCGCCCCAGGCGCACCCAGAAACCCUUUGUGAACUUAUACCUUACUGUUGCCUCGGCGCAUGCUGGCCCCCUCGGGGUCCCUUGGAGACAAGGAGCAGGCACGCCGGCGGCCAAGUUAACUCUUGUUUUUACACUGAAACUCUGAGAAAAAACACAAAUGAAUCAAAACUUUCAACAACGGAUCUCUUGGUUCUGGCAUCGAUGAAGAACGCAGCGAAAUGCGAUAAGUAAUGUGAAUUGCAGAAUUCAGUGAAUCAUCGAAUCUUUGAACGCACAUUGCGCCCUCUGGUAUUCCGGAGGGCAUGCCUGUUCGAGCGUCAUUUCAACCCUCAAGCAUUGCUUGGUGUUGGGGCACUGCCUGUAAAAGGGCAGGCCCUGAAAUCUAGUGGCGAGCUCGCUAGGACCUCGAGCGCAGUAGUUAAACCCUCGCUUUGGAAGGCCCUGGCGGUGCCCUGCCGUUAAACCCCCAACUUUUGAAAAUUUGACCUCGGAUCAGGUAGGAAUACCCGCUGAACUUAAGCAUAUCAAAA